rnacentral:pre_miRNA from 1 species
UAUAAGGGAUUUUGAGUUUUUGCUUGCAAUGUUUGACUGCUCGUCUUAUUCAAAUUUUUUUGAAAUUAUUAUUUAUUUUAUUUGUGACUUACUUUAUUAUCUACAGUAUUUUAACCACAACUUUUCGUUUUUUAUAUUUGCAAAAAAAAUUUGAAUAAGACGAAUGGUCAAACGUUGCAAUCAAAAACUCAAAAUCCCUUAUU